rnacentral:rRNA from 1 species
GACGAACGCUGGCGGCGUGCUUAACACAUGCAAGUCGAACGGAAAGGCCCUGCUUUUGUGUGGUGCUCGAGUGGCGAACGGGUGUGUAACACGUGAGUAACCUGCCCUUGACUUUGGGAUAACUUCAGGAAACUGGUGCUAAUACCUGAUAGGAGCUCCUGCUGCUUGGUGGGGGUUGGAAAUUUUCGGCGGUUGGGGAUGGACUCGCGGGUUAUCAGCUUGUUGGUGGGGUAGUGGCUUACCAAGGCUUUGACGGGUAGCCGGCCUGAGAGGGUGACCGGCGACAUUGGGACUGAGAUACGGCACAGACUGCAACGGGAGGCAGCAGUGGGGAAUAUUGCACAAUGGGCGGAAGCCUGAUGCAGCAACGCCGCGUGCGGGAUGACGGCCUUCGGGUUGUAAACCGAUUUCGCCUGAGACGAAGCGAGAGUGACGGUAAUGGGUAAAGAAGCACCGGCUAACUACGUG